GUCCAGUUGAGUUUGGGAGGAGAUUAUUCUUCUGCACAGUUUCAAGAAACUUGUCAGGUGUGGAGUGGAAAUUCUUUGUGCUGAACAAACUAGAGACGCUGCAGACAGAGAAACAGUCCAUCCUGGUCCUCCUGUUACUCACAACUUGUUGAGAGUCGUUCUGGAACACGUCUGAACACGCAUCAGGUUUGAUCUCAUUCAGGUGAAGGUAGAAAGUGUGUGUGAGCUGAUGUGGAUGUGAAUUCAGCAGC